rnacentral:rRNA from 1 species
UACGUAGGGUGCGAGCGUUAAUCGGAAUUACUGGGCGUAAAGCGUGCGCAGGCGGUUUUGUAAGUCAGAUGUGAAAUCCCCGGGCUCAACCUGGGAACUGCGUUUGAAACUACAAGGCUAGAGUGUGGCAGAGGGGGGUGGAAUUCCACGUGUAGCAGUGAAAUGCGUAGAGAUGUGGAGGAACACCGAUGGCGAAGGCAGCCCCCUGGGUCAAGAUUGACGCUCAUGCACGAAAGCGUGGGGAGCAAACAGG